GUGUAACCGAAUCACUACAGCAGAAAGUGAAGAGAAAAGCGUGGGGCAGAAGCGGAAACGAACGACAAGGCAACAUGGUGGUUCAGUGUGCAUUUAGCAAUUGUACAAAUAAACGCUACAGAUGGGCAAAUUGGGCACCAUAAAGUUUCCACCGAUUUCCAGUGCGAGAUCCAGAAAGGACUCAACUGUGGCUGGUUGUUGCUGGCUUGGACAUCAAAACAACGGCGGAAACUGUUCGCAAAUGGAACAUUUGUAGCGAACAUUUCAUACCGGACGACUUCGAGAAACCCUGCAAUCGGAAGAGCAAGACAUUACUGAAAACGAAUGCGGUGACAUAUCCGUCUUACAGCGACAGGUAAAAAAACUAUUAUAGAGCCGGUAACCUAGGUAUCAGUCCGCCGCUGCCAGCCUACAACCAGAGACCCAUCAAGUCACUCAAAAUGCAAUGCAAUGCAACUAACUAACAUUAUUCUAUCAACACGGACAUUUACAUCGACAGUCUGGCGUUAUAGUUGAUGUGCCUCGGGUAUACUGUGGAGUGGACUUGUUCUCCAGAAUCAAGAGGCACUCCUACUCAGCAUGAAUAAUGUACGUCACCGCCACGGAGCACAAUUUCAAAUAAUUCAUCAUGAAAUAAGAUUUUAUGUCUGUACCAUAAUUUAUGUGUAUUAAUAAUAGAUAGGGAAAGUGUGGCGGUGGCGGCGGCAGAGACGGAGAUGAAAUGGUGGAGGUAUCGAAGUUGCGUUUAAUGUUAUCACAUAACGUGGUAUUUACGAGUGGGGGAGAUGAGGCUUGGUGGCAGGUAAUGGUCGUCAAACAGGCAUCCGGGGACGGCCCUGCAACACCAUAACAAACACAGCCGGGAUUCCGUCUCCAUUCAUGCUCGUGGAAGAAGCAUGCUCUCAACAUUAAAGCACGGGAGGGGGUAGACGGGUGGGCCCGUACCCCACCUACUGUGUGCUUGCGAACACAAUGUUUUGAGAUUACUUAUCCUGUGAAACUUGGUUUUCCUCUUGAAUCUAAUUACAAAACCAUCAUGAGAACUGUCUCAAAACGCAGAAAGAAAACUCAUUUUUAUAUUAUGGCAUCAUCUCAAUUCAUAUUUUUCUCAUCAUUAACUUGUGACAACCUCUGUUUCUCUGCAGAGGAAGCCUUGGUUGGCCCAUGAGAAAGAUUAGCUAUUUCAAGAUAAACAAAACACUAACUUAAAUUAACACACUUUCAGUGGUCCUUUCAGUGAUUCCGACACCAACUCGUACAUCCUCUUCUACUUAGUCACAGCACCUAGCUACACAGAAAUAAAACCCACAAACCAUUCAACUGAAGUUAUUCUGUGAUUCAGUUUAUAUCAUGUGAUGGAAAAUCUACAUGUUGUAUUGUUUUGGUUUAUAUGAAUUUAAGUUUUGUUGCUAUUCUGUGUAAUUUUAUAGUGUCUGCCUUCUGCUCUCCUUUUGGGUCAUUUAAAGUGUGAACGUUCGAGAGUCGUGUGAUGCAUUUUAUUGCCUGCCUGUUCCUAUCUUCUCGUGUGUCAUCUCCCAAGCAAUGCUUUGAAGUACCAGGCCUGUUCUUCGACACUCUGGCUGGCGUAAACAAAGUCAGAGAGUUACAUGGCACGGCCGCCGACCCCACCUUAGCCUCGGGGG
ensembl:lncRNA